AGCUCUCCCUCUCUCUCAUCCGUUUCCUUCUCUCUUCGGAAGUCGUCGGAAAUCGCCGCUGCCGCCGGUCGCCGCCAUCGCCGGAAUCCCAAUCCUCACCAAAAUUUCCAGAUUUUCUUCUCUUCCUUCCCUCUUUCCAUUUCUCCAACCAAAACCAAGAAAUUUGGCCAUCCAACCCUCCAAAAACCCUAGAACCCGAAGCUAAAUUGGGGCUUUUUGUGAUUUCUUCUUUCCAAGCUUAAAUCAAGGCCAUGGGUUUGGCAAGGAUUUUUGGAAACACGAUCGUUAAGGAAGCUUAAGCGGA